rnacentral:rRNA from 1 species
GAGUAAUUCGUUUGAAGAUGAGCCCGCGCGAGAUUAGCUAGUUGGUAGGGUAAUGGCCUACCAAGGCUACGAUCUCUAGCUGGCCUGAGAGGAUGAUCAGCCACACUGGAACUGAGACACGGUCCAGACUCCUACGGGAGGCAGCAGUAGGGAAUAUUGCACAAUGGGGGAAACCCUGACGCAGCGACGCCGCGUGAGUGAUGAAGGACUUCGGUUCGUGAAGCUCUGUCGCAGGGGAAUAAAUUCG